GACGAACCGUGCGAACGUUGUUCGGAAUCACUGGGCUUAAAGGGCGCGUAGGCGGCCUGCCAAGUCAGGGGUGAAAGCCCCCAGCUCAACUGGGGAAGUGCCUUUGAUACUGGCGGGCUCGAGCGAGGCAGGGGUCGUGGGAACUUCCGGUGGAGCGGUGAAAUGCGUUGAUAUCGGAAGGAACACCAGUGGCGAAGGCGACUUUCUGGCCUGUUCUUGACGCUGAGGCGCGAAAGCUAGGGGAGCAAACGGG
rnacentral:rRNA from 1 species